CUACGGGCUGCAGCAGUGAGGAAUAUUGCACAAUGGGGGAAACCCUGAUGCAGCAACGCCGCGUGGAGGAUGACGCAUUUCGGUGUGUAAACUCCUUUUAUGAGUCAAGAAAAUGACGGUAGCUCAUGAAUAAGCACCGGCUAACUCCGUGCCAGCAGCCGCGGUAAUACGGAGGGUGCAAGCGUUACUCGGAAUCACUGGGCGUAAAGGACGCGUAGGCGGGCUUGUAAGUCAGGUGUGAAAUCCUACAGCUUAACUGUAGAACUGCACUUGAAACUACGAGCCUAGAGUAUGGGAGGGGCAGAUGGAAUUAGUGGUGUAGGGGUAAAAUCCGUAGAUAUCACUAGGAAUACCGGGAGCGAAGGCGAUCUGCUGGAACAUUACUGACGCUAAGGCGUGAAAGCGUGGGGAGCAAACGGGAUUAGAUACCCCGGUAGUC
rnacentral:rRNA from 1 species